CGGCGACGGGUGAGUAAUGCCUAGGAAUCUGCCUGGUAUGGGGGACAACGUUUCGAAAGGAACGCUAAUACCGCAUACGUUCUACGGGAGAAAGCAGGGGACCUUCGGGCCUUGCGAUAUCAGAUGAGCCUAGGUCGGAUUAGCUAGUUGGUGAGGUAAUGGCUCACCAAGGCGACGAUCCGUAACUGGUCUGAGAGGAUGAUCAGUCACACUGGAACUGAGACACGGUCCAGACUCCUACGGGAGGCAGCAGGG
rnacentral:rRNA from 1 species